AAAAAUAAAAAGAUAAAGACAGAUAAGUCUUCUGUGACCAGCGGAGCUCGGGGCUGUUGUGACCUGUGGCUGUAGAUACAGGAAGUCAUUUUCCUCCUGGAUCCUCUUUUAAAUGUAGGAGCAAAAUAAAAGUCUGGUGCCUGUCGUGGGGCGCGUGGGAGGUUCUGACGGGUCAUCUGAAAGUCUGGACGAGAGGAUGGAGAUAGCCCCAUACCUAGGCACAGCAAGAGCUUUUCAAAGGAUGGGUGAUUUUUGUUGCAUAUAUAUGAAUUCAUAACUCCUAACUGUUAAUGUUUGUAGGACGUUACCACCAAUACACUGACGUCUGAGGCGGAAUUGCGUAACUUCUAAGCGGCAUUUCCUUUCUUAACAGUCAAAUAAUGCGGUGGGAUGUCCCUGUUCUCCUGCUCUGAACAGUGUGUUCACAGAAUCACAUAGAAAAACCUCUUCGUUUCUGUUUCCAUUACAUCAGCUACAAGAAGUCCAUGCAGAAGAUAUGGCGCUUUAAUAAUUAACCAGAGAACUGUCUAGAUUGAUUAAAAACCCCAGACAAAUGGUAUAUAUAUGAAACAAAUUAACCCUGCUGAGAUAAUAAAUCAAAACAAUUUAAUCUCCUGAACUUUACCACCUUCUUUACUACAGAUCAAGUGGCGUAUAAGUUUAUCUCUACAUGUGCUGUGUUUGGGUUUAUCUCUAGUGUGGUAUUUUCUAUGAUUACCAGGUAACUUUCAGCCUUUAUUUUACAGUUCAAGCAACAGGGCUUUCACUGCUUCCUCAGGAGACUUCAUUAACAGAUCCCCAGCAGGAUUCCCAAUAGUGCAGAGGAAAAACUGUGAAGUAAUCAGCAUUCCAAAAAUCCCACAGCGGACUCUGGAGGGAAGCACGCAAACAAAUAAGUUGUGCUGUCAGAGAUGAUCCGGUGUCCUGGGGGAUUUUAAAGCUGUUCUUUUAGUGAAAAAUGUGACUGGCAAGAAGUUUGCUUUUUACUACCUUCAAGUUUCCCUCCUUCCUUUGGCCACCAGGUAAGAAGAUGGUGCAGGAUGUAGAAACACAC
rnacentral:lncRNA from 1 species